rnacentral:lncRNA from 1 species
AAAGUGCAAUUUGGAGCAACUUGGAGCAGUUUUGGGCCAAGAAUGGAUAGCACAUGCAUGGAGUGUUGGAAAUGUGCCCUAAAACCAAUCAUAUGAUGAUACUUUACGGACAUUUCACAUGUUAAACUAAUCUAGUUUAAUAUCAAGGGCAAAGAUUAUUAUUUAAGCCGUCUCAUAUAAAUGUUAUAUGCUUAAACGAUAAGUCCAAGGAUUAUGUGAUUGGGAGAAUACGAUCUAAAGAAGUUAGAUUCAUG